GCCCUUAGAAGUAUUACAGGUGUGCCUACUGUGUCACACGUUUGUGAGUUGCUGAUAGAGAGGAAAGAGACUAUGUCUAUUCUCAGAGUUCUGACCUGUAGACAUCUGAAUAAUGAGUUGCCUAACAGU